AGAGGAAGGUGAGCAUUGAGGGAGACUGAGAAGGAAAAGUCAGAGAGAUAGGGGGAGAAAUAGGCAAGAGUGUGGGGUAAGGAAGUCAAAAUCCAAGAAGGCUUCAAGAAAACAAUUGGUCAGCAAUGUGAUGUGCCGUAGAGAAGUCAAGAAGAUGAGCACGGAAUCCAGCACAGGAGAUGUGGCCGUCAGGAAGUCUAGGGGCAAAGAGACCUCGCCUUGAAGUAAAUGAGAGAGACAGAGUCUCACUCCAUCAACUAAGCUGGAGUGCAGUGGCAUGAUUGCAGCCCUGAACUCCUGGCAUGAGCCACAGUGCUUGGCCAUAAAUGUAAUUUUAAUAGAAUGGAAUGCUCUUAUAUGGACCACCGAUUUGCAGGAUUAGCACUGACUCAUAAGACUCAAAGGAACUUUGGACUGCCAUCUAUUGAAUUUCAUCUAUAUUAAAAGAAAAUGAAACCUCCUGAGCUGUCCGGUAAUAGAAAGAAGCUGCAGAACCCUGUUGUCUUCAUCUUUUGUUUAACUCAUGCAACAUUUGAAAGCACGUUUGCCUACAAGAAAUAAAACUUAAGUUGUGAAAUGGCUUAUUAAUGAACUCAGAUGACAAGAAACCAAAACAGCGGGCCUGGCUGAAGGAUUCAUCCCUAGCCCUGAAAGCCAGCGGGGUCUUUCUGUAACAUCAAAGGCACAAACAAUUGAACCGACAUGGGGACUUAUUCUGUCCAGCAGCCCUGGUGGCCUCAGACCAUCCGAAGCAAGGGUAACCUACCAGGUAUGUGAGUUUUCUUCACCUGAAAGUUGAUUUUGCCCGAGAGCUUAUAAAUCGCAGUUCCCAUCUUCGAGCCCGGCCCUGCUGUGCAGCAGAGUACAGAGAGACAGCUGAUGGUAACAGGCUGAGCCGGCCAGGCCUGGCUGACCUGCGUGACUCAGAGCCCACCAGGGAGCAGGCCCUCGGCCUCUCUUCACUCCCUGGCUUCAUGUAUUUUUCCAAGUGGUCACCAGCAUGCUCAGCAGCUCUGCUCACAGGGACCGUCAAGUGUUCACACCUGUGUCUGUAAGUCAAAUUAGAAGAGGCUGAGGGAGCGUCUCUGAGACGGCAGUGUUGAUUGGAGGUGCCUGUGGAGGUGGUUAAGGCCUCUGGACCCAGACACUUUAGAUGACCAAGUGGAAUACCUUUUAAAGGCUUCAAGACUUUUCUUUCCCACUCCUCCCUGCCCAUGCGAGGGAGGCUCCAUUUUAAAAUGUAACACACACACACAAAAAAACGGAUUUGAAAUAAGGCAUUAGCCUGAGGUAACUUACCCCCACCUUGGCUCCAGAGCAGCUUGGAUUUCCGAUUCUUUGAGCAGGUCAGUGAUUUGGGGAACCAGUAAAAGAGCCGGGCUAUUCUUCUGAAGGUCUCAUGAAAGUCACUUCUUAUGGCCAUAGCGAGAACCAGGAGUGUUCCAGAAUGACUCGCUACAGAGAGCAUGGAUGAGGAGCACAGUAACACCCACAUAUGACACUUUAGCUGUGAACUGCCUUUCAGCCAAUAUGUCUGGGGACCACCUGUUAGCCCUAAAUCCCCUUCCUCUGUCAUUCUUUUGGCUUGUCCUUUAGACCUUGGCCCUCAUAACUAGAAACUGUAUUAAUAGAUGUUCUUUCUAAAGAAAGAGUUUUAAGCUUUCUUAAGAGAAGCUCUAACCUAAUGCAACACUUGGUAAUUUUCAAGCAUGGACCUCCUGACCUCGUUCAUAAAAACACAAUUUUUUCAUAGAGGAGUGAAAAAAAACAGGAUCCACUAACUCAACUUCCAACAGAAUUGUCAGUGGUAAUUUGCAGGACUUAGUGGUGAUGGACAAGCAAUCUCCUAAAGCCAUAGCCUUGAUCCCAUUUGUUUUGUGCAUUUUUACUGGAAAAAUGAAACCUAUUUGAAACUUUAGCAGGAAUUUAUCCCAGAAAAAAAAAAAUUAGUUCUUAUGAGUCAAAAAAUGUGUAAAAGGGCCAGGCACAGGGGCUCACACCUGUAAUCCCAGCACUUUGGGAGGCUGAGGUGGGAGGAUUGCUUGAGCCCAGGAGUUCAAGACCAGCCGAGCCAACAAAGCGAAAUGCUGUCUCUAGAAAAAGGAAAAAAAAAGCUGGGCAUGGUGGCACGUACCUAUAGUCCCAGCUACUCAGGAGGCUGAGGUGGGAGGACUGCUAGAAUCCAGAAGAUGGAAGCUGCAGUGAGCUAUGAUAGCACUACUGCACUCCAGCCUGGGUGACAGAGCAAGACUCUUCAAAAAAAAAAAAAAGAUGCAAAAGACCAUUUUCCCCCAGGGUCCUAUUUUGAUCUUUAACCAUUUAUUGAACAAUUCUCUAGAACUUCUAACAUUGUAACAUUACUGAAUCCAUUUCAGCAUUUCAGCAGACAUCAAUGCCUAGUUGUCUACCACGCAGCUUGUACUGAGGUUCCCCAUCAUCACUCCUAAGACUAUGUCUAACAGUUGGUCCUUGUGCAUUCUGUUUAUGUCAAAAGAAAUAAACUUAUUCAUAUA